ensembl:ncRNA B0286.8 ncRNA
UCUAAGCCUAAGCCUAAGCCUAGGUUUGCGUCUAAGACUAGGCCUACGCCUUAGCCUAAGAAAAAACCAAAGCCUACGCCUAAGCCUAA